rfam:Pragia fontium strain 24613, complete genome.
UAACCACCAUCAUCACCCUGAUUAGUCUUCAGGCCUUUGGUGCUGGAAGACGAUCUACGAUUCUUCCAGUGGCAAACAGAAAGUUUAAAGAGAGCCCUCGGAAGAAUCCUUCCGAGGGCUUUUUUAA